GAUGAAGAACGCAGCGAAAUGCGACAAGUAAUGUGAAUUGCAGAAUUCAGUGAGUCAUCGAAUCUUUGAACGCACAUUGCGCCCUGUGGUAUUCCGCAGGGCAUGCCUGUUCGAGCGUCAUUUCAACCCUCAAGCCCCGCUUGGUGUUGGGCCCCGCCCGCCGUGGCCGGCCCUAAAGACAGUGGCGGCGCCGCCUGGCCCUCAGCGUAGUACAGCUCUCGCUCCAGGGUCCGGCGGCCGCCUGCCAGAACCCCCCCAACUCUGUGGUUGACCUCGGAUCAGGUAGGGAUACCCGCUGAACUUAAGCAUAUCAAUAAGCGGAGGA
rnacentral:misc_RNA from 1 species